rnacentral:rRNA from 1 species
AUACGGAGGAUCCGAGCGUUAUCCGGAUUUAUUGGGUUUAAAGGGAGCGUAGGUGGAUUGUUAAGUCAGUUGUGAAAGUUUGCGGCUCAACCGUAAAAUUGCAGUUGAAACUGGCAGUCUUGAGUACAGUAGAGGUGGGCGGAAUUCGUGGGGUAGCGGUGAAAUGCUUAGAUAUCACGAAGAACUCCGAUUGCGAAGGCAGCUCACUAGACUGUUACUGACACUGAUGCUCGAAAGUGUGGGUAUCAAACAGGAUUAGAUACCCUGGUAGUCUACACAGUAAACGAUGAAUACUCGCUGUUUGCGAUAUACAGUAAGCGGCCAAGCGAAAGCAUUAAGUAUUCCACCUGGGGAGUACGCCGGCAACGGUGAAACUCAAAUGAAUUGACGGGG